rnacentral:lncRNA from 1 species
CCCCAGAACUCUCCCUGGGCCAGGUGUAUCAGUGCCCUGUGAUGGACGUAUGGAACCUCCAUGUCAUUCUCUAUUCCAUGGUGGCCGGGGCCCUGACCUUCUACUCAGGGAACCUGGUGGACCUGAGGAAAAAAAUUAUCACAGGACAAUACUAUUCCCCACCAUUUUUUCCCUCUUCAAAUUGAAAGAUUUAUUAAAAAGUACUUAAUGCUAAACGUUAGGGAGCGAUCCCUACUGGAACAACUGAUGAGGGGCCCGUGGGUGAACAGUGGCCAGAGAUCUCAUUGAUAUCGUACAAAGAGCCACUCCUGGACCACCCGAACUCCAACAACUCAGCUCACGGUGGCCAUGGGAUUCAAGGCUGAGAACAUCUCAGUGCCAAAAAAAAAAAAAAACAUUCAACUAUCCCAUGGCCACCUACCUCAUUUUAGAGCACACAAAACAAAAAGGAAGCACUCUACCAUCAGAAAACUGUCUCUUCUUCCUGGAGUUCCCACCUCUCCUUCUCCAUCUGCUGAAGUUUCCACCUUCCCUCUCCCACUGGAGCAGGCUCACAGCGAGCCAAUUUGUCCCAUAUUCAAUAUUCAGCUGUCGGAGAACGGCCAGAAGUCAGGGCAGAAGACCACCAUUCCUGCCAGUGCACUUGCCAUCCUGUAGAGGAAGCCAGACAGUUUUAGUGAAAACCCCAGCAUGACCCUGUGGGCUCCUCCUCUACCCAGAGCACCAGCAGUAGUGGAAGAGACCCAGAAAAAAC